rnacentral:rRNA from 1 species
AUUGAACGCUGGCGGCAUGCUUUACACAUGCAAGUCGGACGGUAACAGGCCGCAAGGUGCUGACGAGUGGCGAACGGGUGAGUAAUGCAUCAGAACGUGCCCAGUCGUGGGGGAUAACGCAGCGAAAGCUGUGCUAAUACCGCAUACGAUCUGUGGAUGAAAGCGGGGGACCUUCAGGCCUCGCGCGAUUGGAGCGGCCGAUGUCAGAUUAGGUAGUUGGUGGGGUAAAGGCUCACCAAGCCGACGAUCUGUAGCUGGUCUGAGAGGACGACCAGCCACACUGGGACUGAGACACGGCCCAGACUCCUACGGGAGGCAGCAGUGGGGAAUUUUGGACAAUGGGCGCAAGCCUGAUCCAGCAAUGCCGCGUGCAGGAAGAAGGCCUUCGGGUUGUAAACUGCUUUUGUACGGAGCGAAAAGGCUCCCUCUAAUACAGGGGGCUCAUGACGGUACCGUAGGAAUAAGCACCGGCUAACUACGUGCCAGCCGCCGCAGUAACAC